CAUGUUGCUGAUUUCUAUUUGAGUAUGCUUGUAAAAGGAAGUAAAACAAAAGAGUUGUCAUAUCUUGUUUUGCCUUCUGUAUCGAUUAUCCUCUAGUUGGUGCAUACUUGGAUUGACCUAUAAAAAAUGCGUUUGCAUUGACCUAUAAAAAAUGCGUUUGCAUCUGAUAGUUUAGCUUACCUUUUGCUACAGGGCUCCGCAAAUGUUGGGAAAUCAGCUUUUAUCAGUGCUUUACUGAGUAGGUUCAUUAGUUGACAUCUGAUAUGUUUUGUUGCUAUGAAGUUCAUAGCAAUUCUGUUCACAAAGAUAAAUGCCAGGAUUUAUUUUUCUAAAUGAGUUAUUCUUCUUUUGAACUGACUUUUGUUAAUACUGUAUUACCGUUAUACCAGAACUGAUGGCGGAAAAGGAUCCAGUUGCUGCAUCAGCGCAAAAGUACAAACCAAUACAGUCUGCUGUCCCUGGAACUACCCUGGGUUCAAUUCAAAUCAACGCUUUCCUAGGAGGAGGGAAAUUAUACGACACACCUGGAGUUCAUCUCCAUCAUAGGCAAGCCGCUGUCGUUCAUUCAGAAGACCUACCUUCUCUUGCUCCUCAAAGUCGGCUUAGGGGUCAAUCUUUGCCUAAUUCUCAGGUUUCUGGAAGUGGAACAACCAGGCAAGGAAAUUCCAAUGAUUUGAAUGGCUAUUUAAUAUUCUGGGGAGGUCUUGUCAGAGUAGAUGUCUUAAAGGUUCUCCCUGAGACACGUUUAACAUUUUAUGGGCCAAAGAGUCUUCAGAUUCAUAUGGUACCAACUGAUGAGGCUGAUGAAUUUUACCAGAAACACGUUGGAGUCUUACUGACACCUCCAACUGGGAAAGAAAGAGCAGAUGAAUGGAGAGGUCUCGACUUUCAGCGUCAAUUGCAAAUAAAAGUUGAAGAUGUGCAAAGGCCAGCAGGUGAUGCGGCUAUAUCAGGCUUAGGUUGGAUUAGUAUUGAACCUAUUUGCAGAUUAUUAAGAAGUUCUGAUUCAAAUUCAGAAAAAACUGCAGGGAACUGCAUUUAGCUGUGCAUGUUCCCAAGCCAGUCGAAAUAUUUGUUAGGUCUCCAAUCCCAGUGGGUAAGUCUGGAGCAGUGUGGUAUCAGUACCGGGAGUUGACCGAAAAGGAAGAGGAAGAAAGACCAAAAUGGCAUUAUUGAUUCUUGUGUAUGUAGAGAAAUAUGCUGUCAUUUAGUGUUGUAAAAAAGAAACCGAGGUGAGUAGAUAUUCAUAUAUACAGACAAUAGAUAUAGAAACAUGCACAAUGCCGAGUGUACCAUGUUUUACUGAACCAGUCUGUCUGAGAAAAAGAAGUUUUGACUCUUCUAUAUUGUAG